CAUGCAUAACAAUAUUAUCUAUAAGAAUAAAGAAACUAGUGUUAUGGCUAAAACCAGUGCUUCAAUUGUUCUAGCUGUUCUUGUUGUAGCCUUAUUUCUGAAUGGCUAUAAUGCUGUGAGGGUAGAAAGAGAUAUUCAACCUAAGAAAGUAGGAGUAAACGGACAUCCUUGCUUAUGGGGAAUAUGUCAUACUGUAGCAUGUGCUACAAUUUGUUCGGGAAGAGGCUUUGCCGGAGGCAAUUGUGUAUCGCCAGUAUUGUGUUGCUGCGUUGGAUGAGUUUGAGAGAUCUAUGUUUGAUAAAUGUACAAGUAUAUCAACAAAAUUAUCUUUAAGGUUCUUGUUAAAAUAAGUUGGAAAAACACUAUUGUAAGUUCAAUUACGAUGUAAUUUCCAAUAUUAAGAAUUGCCUGUAAUAAAGUAAAACACCCUUGCACUUA